CGCAUCUGUGCAUGCAGCAUAUCAAUAAGCGGAGGAAAAGAAACUAACAAGGAUUCCCCUAGUAACGGCGAGUGAAGCGGGAAGAGCUCAAAUUUGAAAUCUUAAAGGGUUUCCCUUUACGAAUUGUAGUUUAAAGAAGUGUUUUCUGUUGAGGUUUUGGUAAAAGUUCUUUGGAAUAGGACAUCAUAGAGGGUGAGAAUCCCGUAUUUGACCUUUACUUUCAACUUUGUGAUACACUUUCAAAGAGUCGGAUUGUUUGGGAAUGCAGUCCAAAAUGGGUGGUAAAUUUCAUCUAAAGCUAAAUAUUGGCGAGAGACCGAUAGCGAACAAGUACCGUGAGGGAAAGAUGAAAAGAACUUUGAAAAGAGAGUUAAACAGUACGUGAAAUUGUCAAAAGGGAAGCGUUUGACACCAGUGUUGUUUUUCUGAAAAUCAAUUAAAGAACUGUUUAUGCUAAGUUGUUUAGACUUUAUCAGCUAUCUGUUUAGUUUUGAGCUUUUCUUUAAUGCACUUUUCAGUUAACAAGUCAACAUCAAUUUCUUUUGCUGUAAAAAAGCUUGAGGAAGGUGGCUUGAGAUUCGUCUUAAGUGUUUAUAGCCUCUUGCCUAUGCAGUCGGAGAGAUUGAGGUCUGCAGCGUAGAUCCUUCGGGGCUAAAUGCAUUUGUGCUAAGUUAUAGCAUUUUAUAGACAACUUGUUGACUAUGAUUUGUCUUGUAGCUUACUCGCUUAUGUUAUUUUACCUACGCUUAGGAUGUUGACAGCAGUAUAGACUGU
rnacentral:rRNA from 1 species